rnacentral:misc_RNA from 1 species
GGCCCUAGAAGUUUCUAUUUUUCUCUCCUUGAUUUGUCGAAUUCCUACAACGAUAGGGAGCAAGGUUGGUUGAAUCUGGUAGCCCAGUGGAAGAAGAGUUGAAUGCCGUUGGUUUGACUUCGAUCCAACAUCGGAAUCGCCAAAAAAGGGAAAAAUAUUAUUCGGCUCCUUCUUGCGCGUUUCACCGAAAAAGUGCGCUGGCUGCCGUUCACUGCCCAAUGAGCCUGUGCCGAUGCUGCUGAUGGUCGCCGGAGGUUCACCGACAAUCUCCCGUUGCUGGUCUGGCCGAGGG